AGAGUUUGAUCAUGGCUCAGAGCGAACGCUGGCGGCGUGCUUAACACAUGCAAGUCGAGUGCGCGUCUGUAGCAAUACAGAUGGCGCACGGCGCACGGGUGCGUAACACGUGGGUAAUCUGCCCUUCGAUGGGGAAUAACUCGCCGAAAGGCGAGCUAAUUCCGCAUAACAUUCCUUGAACUUCGGUUUGGGGACUCAAAGCCGUAAGGCGUCGGAGGAGGAACCCGCGCACGAUUAGCUAGUUGGUAGGGUAACGGCCUACCAAGGCUUUGAUCGUUAGCUGGUCUGAGAGGAUGGCCAGCCACACUGGAACUGAGACACGGUCCAGACUCCUACGGGAGGCAGCAGUGGGGAAUCUUGCACAAUGGGCGAAAGCCUGAUGCAGCGACGCCGCGUGGGGGAUGAAGCUUUUCGGAGUGUAAACCCCUUUCGACCCGGACGAAUACCUCGCAAGAGGGGUGACGGUACGGGUAUAAGAAGCCCCGGCUAACUACGUGCCAGCAGCCGCGGUAAGACGUGGGGGGCCAGCGUUGCUCGGAAUUACUGGGUGUAAAGGGUUCGUAGGCGGUGUGGCAAGUCGGGAGUGAAAUCUCUGGGCUCAACCCAGAGGCUGCUUCCGAAACUGCCGUGCUUGAGUGUGGGAGAGGCGCGUGGAAUUGCAGGUGUAGCGGUGAAAUGCGUAGAUAUCUGCAGGAACACCCGUGGCGAAAGCGGCGCGCUGGACCACAACUGACGCUGAGGAACGAAAGCUAGGGGAGCAAACAGGAUUAGAUACCCUAGUAGUCC
rnacentral:rRNA from 1 species